UACGUAGGGGGCAAGCGUUGUCCGGAAUCAUUGGGCGUAAAGCGCGUGUAGGCGGCCAUACAGGUCCGUUGUGAAAACUCGAGGCUUAACCUCGAGACGUCGAUGGAAACCGUAUGGCUAGAGUCCGGAAGAGGAGAGUGGAAUUCCUGGUGUAGCGGUGAAAUGCGCAGAUAUCAGGAAGAACACCCGUGGCGAAGGCGGCUCUCUGGGACGGUACUGACGCUGAGACGCGAAAGCGUGGGGAGCGAACAGG
rnacentral:rRNA from 1 species